rnacentral:tRNA from 1 species
GGGUCGAUAGCUCAGCUGGUAGAGCUGCGGACUUUUAAUCCGUAGGUCCUGGGUUCGAGCCCCAGUCGACCCA